UUUUGGAUUCUUUAUUUUUUAUUACACCGAUGAGAGAGAGAGGCCGGGGGAGAAGAGUCCAGGAGAAAGUUUCUCCUCGUUUCUCGGCCCCUUCCUCCACCGUCCCAUGUUGUUUUGCUGCCACUACACCAGGAUGAGGCAACUCUGCCGGGAUCCGAUUCAACUGAUUAAGAAAAGAAAAACGAAGAAGAAGAAGAAGAAGAAGAAAACCAGUUAUGUUUGUGUAUACAUUUGCUUGGCUUGCAAACUGAAAGAAUUCCCCAAUCGGAAUGCCAGUGCUCAAACACAACCUGUACGCAACAACAACAAUUUCCUGAAUUCAUUUUGGUUUUGUUUUUUAACAUUUUGUUUGUUGUUUUGUUUGUUUUUUUAACUUCAAAAGUCCAAUUCUCUCCACCUGGGUACCUGUUUCUUCUAUUCAUAAUUAUCACCGCCAUUAUCGACGUAUUCUAGUUAUUCCUCAAUAAAAAUCAAAUUAGAAAUUUGCAUAUCCACUGACCAAGAAAUUGCUACUAAAGUCGAUGUUCAGCAUCGAAGACAUCAGUCAAAGGCAGGAACUCUUUUCACUUUGUGAGCUUCCGCGUAUGCGUCACCCACCGGCUAGCGGGCGUGACUGUCGCCAUGGCUACCAAGCCGAGAGUCUCAUGCCGUUCGUGCGUCAUUCAUGGAAACUGUGGAAGGGUCGUAGCCAUUAACGCAAGUGUUCAACACACGUUGAUGUAAUACAGGAAAGCUCUAUAGAUAUCAUCGACUUUGCUCUUAUUUUCGCUUCGUUAAACGAACGCGGAUGGAGAGAGGAGAAAAUGAUUUCGAAAUGCACAGGCACAGCAGCGAGAUGGACGACAUGGAAAGCGGUCAAUCAUUGGCUCUUUCUUCGGAUUUCAUCGUGACACCAUUCCAGAAGAAAAGGGGGAAGAGGAUCGAGAGCUUGGCCCUCUCGUUUUUCCUUUUUUUUUCGAUUCAUUUUCUCCUCAUUCUUCCCUGCACCGUCACUCCUGCCCAUUUAAAGGAAUGGGUUGCGUUCACGCAAAAGCUGCCUCAUACGCACACACAAACGUCUAUAAACUCUCGGCCCUACCAACAAAUACCUGUUCAAUUCUUGACGGAUCUUUAAAGUUUACUAGACGGCCCAUUAUAGACCUUCCAUCACGAUGCAAUUGACGUACGACGGCUGAUGCAACGGCUUCGCUACGCGAUAAAACAUUUUGUAUAAACGUAUAUACAUAGCUCAUCUUA